CAGCCGCCGCGGUAAUACGUAGGUCCCGAGCGUUGUCCGGAUUUAUUGGGCGUAAAGGGAGCGCAGGCGGUUUAGUAAGUCUGAAGUUAAAGGCAUUGGCUCAACCAAUGUAUGCUUUGGAAACUGUUAGACUUGAGUGCAGAAGGGGAGAGUGGAAUUCCAUGUGUAGCGGUGAAAUGCGUAGAUAUAUGGAGGAGCACCGGUGGCGAAAGCGGCUCUCUGGUCUGUCACUGACGCUGAGGCUCGAAAGCGUGGGUAGCGAACAGGAUUAGAUACCCGAGUAGUCCCUGUCUCUUAUACA
rnacentral:rRNA from 1 species